CCGGAACUACGGAAUAACAUGAAGAAAUUUAUGCUAAUACCGUAUACGCCCUUUUGGGGAAAGAUUUAUUGGUUUCGGAUGAGCCCGCGUUGGAUUAGCUUGUUGGUAGGGUAAUGGCCUACCAAGGCGACGAUCCAUAGCUGGUCUGAGAGGAUGAUCAGCCACACUGGGACUGAGACACGGCCCAGACUCCUACGGGAGGCCGCAGUGGGGAAUAUUGGACAAUGGGCGCAAGCCUGAUCCAGCCAUGCCGCGUGAGUGAUGAAGGCCUUAGGGUUGUAAAGCUCUUUCACCGGUGAAGAUAAUGACGGUAACCG
rnacentral:rRNA from 1 species